rnacentral:rRNA from 1 species
UACAGAGGUCUCAAGCGUUGUUCGGAUUCAUUGGGCGUAAAGGGUGCGUAGGCGGCGCGGUAAGUCGGGGUGUGAAAUCUCGGAGCUUAACUCCGAAACUGCAUUCGAUACUGCCGUGCUUGAGGACUGGAGAGGAGACUGGAAUUUACGGUGUAGCGGUGAAAUGCGUAGAUAUCGUAAAGGAAGAACCAGUGGCGAAGGCGGGUCUCUGGACAGUUCCUGACGCUGAGGCACGAAGGUCAGGGGAGCAAACGGG